rnacentral:rRNA from 1 species
UACGUAGGGUGCAAGCGUUGUCCGGAUUUAUUGGGUUUAAAGGGUGCGUAGGCGGCUUUGUAAGUCAGUGGUGAAAUACUCUAGCUUAACUAGAGGGGUGCCAUUGAUACUGCGGAGCUUGAGUACAGAUGAGGUAGGCGGAAUUGACGGUGUAGCGGUGAAAUGCAUAGAUAUCGUCAAGAACACCGAUAGCGAAGGCAGAUCUCUGGGCCGUAACUGACGCUGAGGAGCGAAAGCAUGGGGAGCGAACAGG